GCUGUAGGUGUUAAAGUUUGUUUGUGUGCUAAAGUUAUUUUCGAAUCAGUUACAGUCCAAAUUAAAUCGAAAAGAAAAUGGGGAAAAGAUAAGCUUAGAAAAUCUAGUAAAUAUAUGGAGUGUUUUACGAGAUAUCGGCGACGUGGAAGAAAAUGUUGACGGCAAUGCAGAAAUAUAGUUUCUUAUGUAUGUUUUUGUGAAAUAAAAAUUAAGUAAUGUUAGUUAAAA